CAAGUCGAACGAUGAUAUCACUGCUUGCAGUGAUUGAUUAGUGGCGAACGGGUGAGUAACACGUGAGGAACUUGCCCAUGAGCGGGGGACAACAUUCGGAAACGGAUGCUAAUACCCCAUAGGUGGAUUGGUCGCAUGACGAAUUCAUUAAAGGUGGCUUUGCUACCACUCAUGGAUAGCCUCGCGGCGUAUUAGCUAGUUGGUAAGGUAAUGGCUUACCAAGGCAGUGAUACGUAGCCGACUUGAGAGGGUGAUCGGCCACACUGGGACUGAGACACGGCCCAGACUCCUACGGGAGGCAGCAGUAGGGAAUCUUCCACAAUGGGUGCAAACCUGAUGGAGCAAUGCCGCGUGAGUGAAGAAGGUCUUCGGAUCGUAAAGCUCUGUUGUUAGAGAAGAACACGUGCUAGGUAACUACUAGCGCCUUGACGGUAUCUAACCAGAAAGUCACGGCUAACUACGUGCCAGCAGCCGCGGUAAUACGUAGGUGACAAGCGUUGUCCGGAUUUAUUGGGCGUAAAGGGAGCGCAGGCGGUCUGUUUAGUCUAAUGUGAAAGCCCACGGCUUAACCGUGGAACGGCAUUGGAAACUGACAGACUUGAAUGUAGAAGAGGAAAAUGGAAUUCCAAGUGUAGCGGUGGAAUGCGUAGAUAUUUGGAGGAACACCAGUGGCGAAGGCGAUUUUCUGGUCUAACAUUGACGCUGAGGCUCGAAAGCGUGGGGAGCGAACAGGAU
rnacentral:rRNA from 1 species